UACGGAGGGGGCUAGCGUUGUUCGGAAUUACUGGGCGUAAAGCGCACGUAGGCGGCUUUGUAAGUUAGAGGUGAAAGCCCGGGGCUCAACUCCGGAAUUGCCUUUAAGACUGCAUCGCUAGAAUUGUGGAGAGGUAAGUGGAAUUCCGAGUGUAGAGGUGAAAUUCGUAGAUAUUCGGAAGAACACCAGUGGCGAAGGCGACUUCCUGGACCUGUUCUGACGCUGAGGAGCGAAAGCGUGGGGAGCGAUCCGG
rnacentral:rRNA from 1 species